CAAUAGCGUAUAUUUAAGUUGUUGCAGUUAAAAAGCUCGUAGUUGGAUUUCGGUUAAGAGCGACCGGUCCGCCGUUUGGUAUGCACUGGUUGGUUUUAACUUCCUGUAGAGGACGUGCUCUGGGUUUAACGACCUGGACUCGGAGUCUACGUGGUUACUUUGAAAAAAUUAGAGUGUUCAAAGCGGGCUUACGCUUGAAUAUUUCAGCAUGGAAUAACACUAUAGGACUCCUGUCCUAUUUCGUUGGUCUCGGGACGGGAGUAAUGAUUAAGAGGAACAGUUGGGGGCAUUCGUAUUUCAUUGUCAGAGGUGAAAUUCUUGGAUUUAUGAAAGACGAACUUCUGCGAAAGCACUUGCCAAGGAUGUUUUCAUUNA
rnacentral:rRNA from 1 species